GACUUCGUGGUGUAGUGGUCAGCACGUUCGAUAUGUAACAGAGAGGUCCGUGGUUCGAUUCCCGGCGAAGGCG
rnacentral:tRNA from 1 species